AACGAACGCUGGCGGCAGGCUUAACACAUGCAAGUCGAACGGGUGUAGCGAUACAUCAGUGGCAGACGGGUGAGUAACACGUGGGAACCUUCCUAGGGGUACGGAACAACUCAGGGAAACUUGAGCUAAUACCGUAUACGUCCGUGAGGAGAAAGAUUUAUCGCCCUUAGACGGGCCCGCGUCGGAUUAGGCAGUUGGUGGGGUAACGGCCUACCAAGCCUACGAUCCGUAGCUGAUCUGAGAGGAUGAUCAGCCACACUGGGACUGAGACACGGCCCAGACUCUUACGGGAGGCAGCAGUGGGGAAUCUUGGACAAUGGGCGAAAGCCUGAUCCAGCCAUGCCGCGUGAGUGAAGAAGGCCUUAGGGUUGUAAAGCUCUUUUGCCAGGGACGAUAAUGACGGUACCUGGAGAAUAAGCCCCGGCGAACUUCGUGCCAGCCGCCGCCGUAAAAC
rnacentral:rRNA from 1 species